rnacentral:lncRNA from 1 species
AUGAAAUCUGAGUUUCACUUAAUCCUCAGAACCACGAUUGAGGCGCUUGUUCCUACUCCCAUUUUAAGACGCGGGCUGCAGAGAGGGCAAGCACCCUCUCCACACAGAGCGAACACGACGGGUAGGGCUCAAGUCCAGGAGGUUCCCAAGCCCCCGUGCCGUUGGUGCCACGCGGUGCUCCCACCCAGCCCACUCCGCGGGAGAAAAACUACAGGCCUCGGAGGAGGAGCCGCUCCUCGCAGUUGGGUGGGGCAGAGGCCGGCGCGAGGCCUUGCUCGCUGGAGGAUUUCCGCAGGCCUGAAACAGGCAGGACCGGAGCCCAGCAGGCGGGCCCGGGCCUGCGCAUUCAGAACCCCCGACGAGCGACCGCUAAGCGGGUGGGCGCGCACCGCGGGGCCGGAGGGAAAGGCCCAGACCCUGCGGGGAAGGCCACGCCCCGAGUGGGAGCGCUUCCUUCCAGAUCCCGGCCUCUCGCUGCAAUUCGUUUUAAGGGCAGCCCUGCCCGGUUCACACCUAGCCUUGAAGAUGACGGAUUGCACGGAUGUUAAGGAUGGCAAGAGAGUUCAACAGUGUGAAAACAGCUCACAGAUCACAGAAAUAAAGCAUUGCAUGGGCCUAAAAGGAUGAGCAGCUGUCUUCGCAAAAGCAGUUUCUGGAGAGAAGUAACAGCUUUUCAGUUGAAGCCUGUGAGAAAUUUGCCAAAAGAAGACUGAAAAAUCAAGCUCUGUCCCAGCAUGUAACUUGGAAGGAUCCUAACUGACUAUUUGUGGGGCAGCUUUUCAGCUGGUAAGCAGACCUGGUCAAUUUCUUUUUAAAAUGCCCCCUGCAUCUGUCUCGUUUUCCUUCUAUUACCAGCUGAUCCAAGCCUUUAUAUCUCACCAAGCAAUUACUGCAACAGUUCCCAACUGGGGCCUGUGCUUCCAGGCCCUGUCAACUUCAAUGCAAACUCUGUCAAGAGGAUUUUUUAGAUCACCACUCCCCCUUGGUCAUUUCUUUGUUUUUGUUGUUGUUGUUUGUUUUGUUUUUGAGACAGAGUCUCACUCUGUCACCCAGGCUGGAGUGCAGUGGCGUGAUCUCCGCUCACUGCAACAUCCGCCUCCUGGGUUCAAGCGAUUCUUCUGCCUCAGUCUCCCUAGUAGCUGGGACUACAGGCGCGGGCCACCACACCUGACUAAUUUUUGUAUUUUUAGUAGAGACGGGGGUUUCACCAUAUUUGCCAGGCUGGUUUCAAACUACUGACCUCAUGAUCCGCCUGUCUCGGCCUCCCAGAGGGUUGGAAUUACAGGCGUGAGCCACCUCUCCUGGCCUGCUCAUUUCUUUGUUUAAGAAUCUAAGUGCAAAUUCUGGUAUAUUGUGAUUAAUGCUUAAGAAUCCCUGUGUUUGAGAGGAAGGUGUUAUCAUAUUAAUGAGUAGUGCCAAACACAUUGUGCAUAUCUACAGUUUAAUCCUUCAGUGUAUGUUACUGGAUUAGCUCCCUCCUCCUUCCGUGUGAUGGCACUAUCCAUAGAGUCAGUCACAUCCUCGUGAUGUUUUAUAUGGAGUUUGGCAACAUGUAAAUCAUGUGUGAAGGAAGUUUUUAUGAUUAAGGAACCAGAUUUAUUAUUUUUUUAUUGAAAGUUGAAACAACACAUAUGAACAAAAAGGAAAGAAUAUACUCUUUUCGUGGACGAUAACACAAAAAAAUCUAAGUGCCUGGGUAUUGUUUACUGAAUCAAGUAGGGAUUUUUAUUUUGAAGCGAGAUUUAUUUAUUAGCAUAACUAAAACCAUACGCCUUGAUUAAAAGUGACAUUGAAAGUAGUGAGACUAGGUCCUUUCUAGGAAGAAAGGCAUUCGAGAACUGUGAGAAAUGAAAAAGAUUUUAGUUCAAACCAGGGUCAUCCAGGGUCUA